GCCUGACAUGAAGAGGGUGGGCCAGUGGAGUGUUCGAUCCCGGCCGCCAGUCCCUGCUACAGUUGAAAGAAGGCGACAGAGAGGCGACUCGCUCCCGGAGUCGAUUCCGUCGGCUCCUCUUCGUCUCCGGCGGGCCCCUCUUCAUCUCCGGCGGCCGUUCCGGCACUGGGGAUGACGAGAAGGCGCGGAAUCGACAGCCGGUGUACAUAUCCCCUCCUUUUAGCACUAGUCUAGUUAGGUUAGGGUUGUGUAUCUCCGCAUCGGGGAGGGCUUCGAUGCGGAUGCUAUUUAUGUGCCUGUCUUCUGCGACGGUGGCGUCGCUUUCAACCUGGUCUCCAUUGGUGACCUCCGGUGCUGUUUCGGCUGCGGAUAUGAUGAGUGAUUUAAAUGGGAUUUGCCGGUGAUCGUCGAGGUCGGCGGACCCUGACGGCUGGCUGCAGCUCCGCCCUUGGGUGGAACCUGCUCUUCUCCCCUGGCUAGGGUUUUGGCCUUUCCGGGGCACCGGUGUUCCUUGCUGGUCCAUUUGGUGUGCCGGAUUUCUAUCCCGGGUUGUCGAUUUUUUCGAUGCCGCCGGUUCACAGCUUGCCCAAGAGUCCGGCGAUGGCGGCCGAUGUACCCCAGAGGACAAACAUGAUGCGGCUAAAAAAUGCUGGAGGUCUCGUUGGGCUGUUUGGUUGAGUUCAUGUCCUGGUUCGUGUGCUUCUUCCCCGACUCCGGCGGAUCCGGAAGUGGCGCAUCGGCCGGGAGCUUCGACGGAGGAUCUGAGGACCGCUGUGUCAAAUUUGACUUCCUGUUGGGUCCUUCGUGUAACUUUACACUCCUGGAGUUUGUAUGCUGUGGAGUUUGUUGUAUUUUUUAUCUUCUCCAGGGUGUUUUCUGUAAAAGCCAGGAUGAACUAAAUAUAUGGGAUCCAGCCCCUUCUCAAAAAAAAAAAACAGAUUCAACUAA